AGGCCUCCCCAGAAGCUGAUGCUGCCAUGCUUCCUGUACAGCCUACACAACCAUGAGCCAAUUAAACCUCUUUUCUUCAUAAAUUACCCAGACUCAGGUAUUUCUUUAUAGAAGUGCAAGAAUGGACUAAUACGGGUAUCUACAUGAGAAAUUAUUCUUUCCGUUUUAUUACAUCUUUCUUUCUCAGGUUUUGUCCUUCACGUAAAAGUAAUUAAAGCUGAUUAAUUUCAAAAUAAAUUAUGUACUUGAUAUAUGUUAUGCUUCUGAAUAAUUAAUCUUUAUAUUGUUUAAAGGUCAUUUUAAAUUAUUUUAAUGCUUUUAAUAAUUACUUUUUAUUCCUGUAACAAGAAAAUAUAUUUCCUCCAAAAUAUAUGUGAUUACUGGCAAGUAGCCAUUUUUCAACUUUAUGACUCACUUUAAAAACAUGUUUUUCAUAUUAUAAACCAUGCUGUUUCAUUUUUGUCUUGCUUUGAGCAGGAAUAGUGUACCGUAAAAGCUAAGAUAAAAAACAGGAGAAAUUUAGUAAGUGGCAGUCUUUAGAUGAUCUUGGCCUAUUUCAAAAUUUUUAUCUCAACCUUGUUAUAUAAUUUCACUUUAUGUGCAUAUUUGAGUUAAAAAAUAUCUUGGUAUCAGUGUUAUGUUCAUACAUUUCUUUUUAAAUUUGGUCAUGUAAAGCGUAAAAUAUAUGGAUAUUUGAGCAGUAAAAACAUUUUGAACCUUUAAUUCAACUUUUUCCACAUAAUUUUGACUGCUUUAUCUCAUAAAAGAAGGAUGUGUGUUCAUCUUAUUUUCACUAUUAAGAUAAAUCACACAAAAAAGUCAACAGUGAGCAGUUUAGAAAGUAAAGAUUCACUUAUACAUGACCUGAAGGUUGGAGAAUUACCAGGCCCCAUAUAGUUUACAUUGUCCAAAACCACCCUGAUGAGAGUUACAAGGGGAGUCAUAGGGGAAAUUCUAACUCUCAGACAAAUGUUGCAGGAAACAUUGACUGCUACUUACAGAGAGGUCCAGGAAAAAAGUAUUCCUGUAAGUUUGGAAAAGCUACACGAAUGUGUCUUUGCUUAGCAACUUACAACACCUUUGAAUACAGGAAAGACUCCUGACUUUAAAGAAAGCUACCUGAAUUUAUUAACCCCAGUAUUAACAGUCUGUAGAACAUUGUUCUUAAACAAGUUUUUAAUCCAGUGGUCCUGUAAAGACUCAAAUGUCCUAAUCCCUUUGCCAAAGUGGAGGAGUACUGUAUGUCUUCAAGAGCCCAGGAGUUCUACUAUCUAGAAAAUAUCCUCUUUCUCUGGGUCUAGAUUAUACCAGCCAAGUGAGCCUCAUGGCAGGCCCAAGUAGGACCUAUAGAACUUCCGGAUAUUUAUGAGGUUUAUAGUUUAAACCCCAAAUUGGAGUCUAACUUAGAGGAUGGGGUAAGGAAGAAACUUUACGUAGAUAAGUUUCUGAUCCUUGUGUUCCUGAAAAAAGAACACAAGUUCACUGGGAUCCACCUACAGUCCAGGCAUUGUAAAGGCUGAGGAUUUUCUUCACUUUGGUCCCUAUCUUAUUACCAUGCCACGAUGCAUAUACAAAGUAGAAACAGUCAACUCUAAUGCCAUUAUAGGGAUGAGUCUAUCACAGGAAGAGCUCUUGGUCCUGUGGCCCUGCAUUGGCCUGCCAGAGUCAACAACGAUGUCUGGGAGCUGACGUGUCUUGGCUGAAGUCAACAUUCAAGGCGAUUAUCUAGGUCACUGCAGCCUAGAGCAGCUGCGGGCUCCACUCAGGCAGGCAGCUCACAAGACUAAGCAGAUGCACCAUUCUCUAUCCAGGAUCCAUUUUUUACCUUCUUGAAGAAACCCAGAGUUUUGUUUGAGGAUUUCCCCAUUCCACACCACUCUCAGGUCAUGUGGUCUCGACAGAGCUCCAAUCCCAGCUCUAGGGAUAAGCAGGUUUUGGCUAUAAACCUCAUGUUUGACAUUGCCAGGAGCCUGACUUCUGGAUAAGUGGAUUGUUACUGUACCACGUACCUUCACAGCAUAUUCUAUUCCGACUGUGAUCAAAAUGACCGAACCACAUUUUUCCAUUAAGAGCUGUGUACCGUUGAGUAAAUGAGGUUACAUGUGUUCACUAAAGAAGUUGUUACUUCUUCCUAAUUUUAUGUCUCUUCAAAAUAUAUACCUCCCUCCUCCUUCACUCCCAAUAUUUUAUCUGUUUCAAAUCCUUUUUGGAACAGAGGUUUAAAAAAUAUACAUGUAUACCUUA